rnacentral:lncRNA from 1 species
UACUUUAUUCUUUUUAUUUUGUUUUGAAUGAGGAUUCUCGUUUUACGAGAAAGGUACAUGUAAUUAUAGCUUAGCAGUUGUCAUUUCCAAAAAGUUUUAUACUUAAUGGCUUAGCAGUUGUAUUUUUCUAGGUAUUUAAAGCAUAUAAUUUUUAUGCAUUUUGAAAGAGGGGUAGUUUGGUCAUCCUUCUGAAAAUUCGGGCCAAAUCUGCAAAAACCAAAAAGACGGCCUACUUUUGCAAAAGCUGAAAAUUAAUAGAUUUUUUAUGCAAAUUGGCCUUCUUGCUAUAAAAUCUCUUACAAAUAUAGAUAUAUAAUAGUAGUUGUCUCCUUAAUUUUAUAGAAGUUAAUUAAAAACAUAUAAACACAUCAACUAGCUAUAGAUUUUUUUAUAUAUAAAUAACUCUACAAAUUUUUAUAAUUAUAAAUAAUCUCUUUCAAAGAUUAAUUGUAAAAGUACGUCUCUAGCAUGCCAUGUAAGAUGGGGGUCAGAAAAUGUUGAAAGCAGUGAAUGAUUUGCUGCAUAUGAAAGCGGCAAGUCAUUAACUACUUUUAUGAAAAUUCCAUAUAUUGUGGCGUAUUUAAAAACAAAAAAUAUAGUAAAAUGUUGACCGUUUUAAAAUGCGGUAAAUAGAUCACCGCUUUAAAAUGCAGUAAAUGGUUCACCACUUUUAUUCGCUAUGGAUGAUUCACUGUUUUUCUAAGUGGUGAACGAUUCACUGUAAUCCAUUGUUGAUCCUACAGCCCUCCCGCUGGAUCUCUUCUCCCUCUUUCGCUCUUUCUAUCUCACUCAUUCUCUCCAUCUCACUCCUUUCACACAGUGUGCCACUGUGUCAAUCUU